CAACGAGACUGAAUCGAGGAGGAAGCUGUUGUGAUUUUUGAAGGUUAAGAUCCAGUAGUCACUUUGAAUCGACGGGUGGAUCAGGAGUACGAAGAUAAAGGUUAUGGAAGAAGACACUUCAAAUUCACGUGAUCUUGAAUAUGAAGAUGAGUAUGUAUUGCUUGAUUUGGAUGAAGUUUCUGCGAAAGUUUGUAUUCCCCCGUAUGCACCGUAUACUCUAUUAGGAUUAGACACAUUGCACCCUGUGUUGAUUAUUCACCAAAGUUAAGAAAAUCUUUUACUAUAAUAAAUGAAACUCUUAACAUAAUUUUUGUGGUUUGUGGGUUGUAAUAACAGGUUGGGGAAUACGAAGAAACAAUUGGAACGUGUGUCGUCUUUAAUGAAGACAAAAAAUCAGAUCCAAAGGCAAGAGCAACAACCCAAAAGAAAUUGGGAGCUUCUGGAGCCAAGACUUCAAAGCAACUAGUGAUCAAGGAAGUUAGGCCUGUUGGGAGUCUCCAUAAGAUUCUCAAGUUUAGACUAGCCACACAGAAUGAAGAUGGAGCAAAUAACACCAUGAAAAAGGCCAAGGCAUUUUAGUACACACUAGUUUAAAAAGUUAAUUAUAGAAUAGAACAUGUAUUUAUUUGAUUAACUUUAACACUAUCCUCAUUCCACCACAAUUUAUUGUAGAUAGUGCAUCAAAAGAUGGAUAUAAUGAAAAUUGCAUCUCAAUUUUAAAUAUUUUCAGUUUCUUAUAAAGAUUAUUAAUUUAGUAUAA